rnacentral:lncRNA from 1 species
GGAACCUCUUCCCACUGUAUUCAGUAUGCUGCACCUUCUGGAUGAGAGUGGUGUGCAUACCUACAGGUCUGUUCGAGGCUGCCUGUGUGCAAUACGUCUCUGACAGCACCAUGAAAAUCGUCUUCUUCAACUGCAAGCCCUCCAUGGUUAUAUGACACUGUGCAGGGCAUACACUCAGUCAUUUCAGAUCAGAUUGUUAUGCAAAGCAUGCAGCUGCCCAAGAAGCAUGACACUUGGCCCCAGGCCCGUGUGGCCACUGUGUAUAUUGUGACAACAUGACCAAUACUACAGUACUUUUCCACCCGAGAACAGGUAAAUUAUACAAAAUCCAAAGCUUCAUUAAUUGUAGCACCACAAAUAUCAUAUACAUGCUCAAACUUCUGUGGGCUGCUUCUAUUGGUCAAACUAAAUGAGCAUUGAAACUCCGCAUCGCCGAACAUAAGGCUGCUAUUCGUAAUAUAAACACGGACUAUGCUAUUGCACGCCACUGUAUAGAAGCCAACCAUGGCUCACCUGCCUCCCUGCGCUUUGUAGCCAUAGAACGUGUCCAAAUUUCACCAAGAGGACGUGAACUUAAACAGGCGUAUCAAUGAUUUUUCAAUGUCUUCGUUUAUAUAAUGUUGCCUUGAUUUUUUGGGGGAGUGUCUCUGGAUUCACAGACACCCAAAUAUCACUUAUGCUUAUUUUGACACCCAGCUUUCUGAUGAACUCAUCACCAGGCCUCCACUCAUGGACUUACUCACCCAGCAUCUUCAGCCUGGCUGCACUCAGCCGGUUCCACUCCCCUGGCAUGCGGCACCCUCCUUGGCAACGGUGCAGUUUAACGUGAUACCACUCAUGUCCCCCAGAGGGCACAGCUUCCUGCCCUCGCCCAACAGGACUGCCAACGAGUCUGUGCUUGUUCCAGAGAUGAAGCCCAUGGUGCCUGAUCUAUGCACUGAGCAGCUGUGGAGUGAGACAGCCUCCUCCCACAGGCCAGUGUCUGAUAUUCACCUCUGCACCGUUGGCUAUAGUGGUGUCAUGGAUCCUGCUCUGUGGCCUAGUUGGCUGACCAACUCUGUUAGAUGUUACUGUAGACAUGUUUACAUUGCUUUUGUCUAAUAAACCUGGGUCAAUGUCCCAUUUAUUUUUAUUGCGACAUGUUUAAUGGUAACUGCAGAUUAUAAGCGAUAUUUUCAAAAUAUCUACCAUUUUUAUCCAUUCAAUGGUGGAUUUUUGUUUUGUGAAACUUUCCAUGUUGUGACAAAUGAUGGAAACUGUGUUUUGAUCAUUUGACAAAUCAUUUUGAAGUUAUGCGUGGUAAAAAAUAAAAUAAAAAAAUCUGUAAAUAUGAUAUUUUUUAGGGUUGUG